rnacentral:rRNA from 1 species
UACGGAGGAUGCAAGCGUUAUCCGGAAUCAUUGGACGUAAAGAGUCCGUAGGUGGCACUUCAAGUCGACUUUCAAAGACCGAAGCUCAACUUCGGAAAGGGAGUGGAAACUGAAGAGCUAGAGUAUAGUAGGGGUAGGAGGGAAGUUCCUAGUGUAGCGGUGGAAAUAGCGUAGAGAUUAGGAAGAACACCAGUGGCGAAGGCGCUCUACUGGGCAUAUACUGACACUGAGGGACGAAAGCUAGGGUAGCGAAAGGGAUUAGAUACCCGCGUAGU